rfam:Salmo salar isolate Sally breed double haploid chromosome ssa23, whole genome shotgun sequence.
UGCAUUCACUACUGUAAGUCGCUCUGGAUAAGAGUUUCUGCUAAAUGACAAAAC